rnacentral:lncRNA from 1 species
CUUCCAGAAAUUCUCAUCCUUUGUAUUUGAAUAGACAAGGUUGCCCCAGAGUAAUAGAUAGAAAUUAGAGAUCAACGACCAGAAAUAUGCAGCGCAAAAGGGUAGAACAAACAUGUGGCUUUAGAUCUCGAUGAAGACCUGCAAAGCAGCAGCUGUAGAAGAACACAACAGUACAGAAAAAGAGAAAUUAGAAUUUUGGCAAGUAGAAUGCAACAUAAAAACAUGUGUCCACGGAUAUCUAAUAUUUCCGAAACUCCAUCUAAGUGUAUAUAGUUGCUUCCAGAACACUUCCAUGAUGCUAUAUAUACUUGGAUGGAUUACCACCUCUGAGGCCUAGGAUAAUGAGAUGGGGAAAUAUAUAAAUGAAUACAAUCAUUAACAAGAUUAUUAUGAUAUAAGAAACACUCUUCCUCUCUAUUGAAUUGCUCUAAUUAAAGGAAAAAUCCAUAGCUAAUAUGCACUUUCUCAACUAAGCAAGAUUAAAUACUGUAAUUUAGACAUCAAUAGAGAGCAUUAUAAAAACCAUCAGCCUGUCUAAUGUCUUCUUUUCUCAUUGUAAUUUAUCAAUAUGUAUCCAUCCUUAUGUAAUAGAGCCAUCUUUGGUUUCUGCUGCAUACAAGCAUGCCAUGUCAUUCAGUUCUCCAUCACCUUGAUCCCUGCCACUGCCACCGCUGCUACCGUGCAUCAUGGGGAAUACACGAUUCAAAUCUCAACAAUCUCAUCUCUAGGUACACAAUUCAACUCUCAGCAAUCUCAUCUCCACUGAGACUAUCCUAUGUAUAUCCAUUACUCUCACUGCUUAAGCUCCCAUUUUAAGUCUAAAUAACACUUUCUUUUGGUUGCUGAAGUAUCACCAACAUGUAACAAUCACAAAAUAUUCCAGAGGGGCAUCUUUAUAUUAUUCAUUAAAUGUCAGUCAUUCAAAUUGAAGGCAUCCUCAACAAUCCGUUCAUCCUCCAUACCUCCAAAACCUAAGGUGUUAUCUCCAUGAAACAAACACGUCAGUUAGUCUCAUUUUGGUUCCUUAUCCCCCACAUUAUCUCUACAUUCCUAUUCCUAAACCAACUAAACCUUUGUAUAUUGAUCGACAGUUUACCAACUACAAAUCUAAGGGGUUAAAAUAUUUAAAAUGGACCACUAAUUGUAAGCUUGUCUGGGUACAAUCAUCAAUAGUGUUCACUUUAAUCUAUAUAUUUGUUCUGGCAUUUAUAUAUUUUAUAAAUGCUGAGGUACCAAAAUUAAUAUAGUACAUUUCCUGACUUCACAAAUCCCUGCUCCAUUUUUCGGGCACUAAUAUUCCAUCCUCAGCCAACAACAUUACCAACCAUCCUUUUCUCUUAUUUGUUAAAUAUAAAAAGGAAAAAACAACCAGCCAGCCAUGCUCAGUUCAUCAUGAUGCAAAAUCACCAACCUCUCGUCGUUUUUUUCUCAUCAUCACAGAUGGUGAAUAAAUAGAGAGCUCUAUAUCUCUCCAUGAUGCAUGAUGGUAGCCAUCACUCCCCAGGCCAGAAUUUUUGGGAAACCAGCAACCAUCUGAAAAGGUGAUUUCUGUAUCACAAAUUCUUGGAAUCUACUGAUUUGGCCCAUGGGAUUUCAAAGUCAUCUCAUUCUCAAUUCACACUAAUCACAUGGCCAAGCUGGUAAGGCAUCCAGAAAGCCCCUUAAAAAUGCAGAUGAUAGAUACAUUAGGAAGGCCACUACAUUCUAAAUUCCCCCACUCCUACCAAAUGUUGCAAUUCCAUAUAAACUGCAAAGAAGAAGAAAACCAACCUGGAUGAAGUCGUGAAGAGUGAUAAUGUUGGGGCAGUUGAUCUUUUUGAGGA